ensembl:lncRNA novel transcript, antisense to PELI1
AAACAGUUCUCAUUUUGUGUGCUCGGCUGACUGCACGUCCAGCCUCGGGCCAGCUCGAGACGGCCACAUUACUCAGAUGGUGUAGCCUUCUACACACCUUGGAUAUAUGGUAUAGCCUAUUCCUGCUAGGCUACAAACUCGUGCAGCAUGUUAUGGUACUGAAUACUGCAGGCAAUUGUAGCACACUGGCCUGGUUGAAGAUGGCUGAGCGUAAAACAGAAUGCAAGUCAGCUGGAGCACGUACUACUGGAGGCAGAGCCCCAUGAGAAGGGGCCAAGAACCCGCACCCAUCAAAAUCAAGAAGAAAGGCUGAACCCGGAGAGAAAAGGGAGCAACUGAUGUUGCCAUGCAGAUCCCUUGGUUGCUAUGAGAUGGUAACAUCACUCUGCCCCACCAUUGGCCAGUGCCUCCUCAGCUGCGGUGCCUCCCAGGCUGUGUGGUUCUCACGCGGGCCACUGACACAGAGCUGUUACUAUGCCUGGCUCAGCUUCUCAGCUUCUCAGGUGGAUUGGUGAGUCCUGGCCAAUUACGCUUCAGCUCAUCUCUACUCUCAGCAAAUAGGAAAAGGGAGUGAAGGACUGAGUUUUAACUCUUCUAAUUUCGUAACCUGACUCUCUAUAAGAAAAAGUAGGAGAAAGACUGAAGAACCCGAGAGAACAGGCCUCUGAGCCCAAGCCAAGCCAUCGCAUCCCCUGUGACUUGCCCGUAUAUAUGCCCAGAUGGCCUGAAGUAACUGAAGAAUCACAAAAGAAGUGAAUAUGCCUUGCCCCACCUUGACUGAUGACAUUCCACCACAAAAGAAGUGUAAAUGGCCGGUCCUUGCCUUAACUGAUGACAUUACCUUGUGAAAGUCCUUUUCCUGGCUCAUCCUGGCUCAAAAAGCACCCCCACUGAGCAUCUUGCGACUCCCACUCCUGCCCACUGAGCACCUUGUGACCCCCACUCCUGCCUGCCAGAGAACAAACCCCCUUUGACUGUAAUUUUCCUUUACCUACCCAAAUCCUAUAAAACGGCUCCACCCUUAUCUCCUUUUGCUGACUCUCUUUUCUGACUCAGCCCGCCUGCACCCAGGAGAUUAAAAGCUUUAUUGCUCACA